UCAGAAGAGGCGCGUUGACCAGGUACGCAAUAAUAAGGGCACAUUCCCUGAUUAUUAUUGCGAAGGGGGAGCAACGCCGAGUGAGACGCACGAAUGUGAGUGCUGAUUGCGGUCAAGUGGGCUGAAUCCCACUGAUUGUCACCUGAGUUUAGGUGGAGAGCUUCUGGU
rnacentral:ncRNA from 1 species